rnacentral:rRNA from 1 species
AGGACGAACGCUGGCGGCGUGCUUAACACAUGCAAGUGGAGCGACGAACCAGGCUUCGGCCUGGGGCAGAGCCGCGAACGGGUGAGUAACACGUGGGUAACCUGCCCUGAUGAUUGGGACAACCCGAGGAAACUCGGGCUAAUACCAAAUGUGCCCCCUGGCCUCAAGGCCUCUGGGGAAAGGAAGCUUCGGCCUCCGCAUCGGGAUGGGCCCGCGGCCCAUUAGCUUGUUGGUGAGGUAAUAGCUCACCAAGGCUACGAUGGGUAGCUGGUCUGAGAGGACGAUCAGCCACACUGGGACUGAGACACGGCCCAGACUCCUAUGGGAGGCAGCAGUGGGGAAUCUUGCGCAAUGCGCGAAAGCGUGACGCAGCAACGCCGCGUGGGGGAAGAAGGCCUUCGGUUGUAAACCCUUUCAGUUGGGACGAAGCUUCGCCGGUGAACAGCCGGCUGGAGUGACGGUACCUUCAGAAGAAGCCCGGCUAACUACGCGCCAGCAGCCG